GGACCCGCACAAGCGGUGGAGCGUGUUCUUUAAUUCGAUGUUAAACGAAGAACCUUACCAGGACUUGACAUCCUUGGAAUUUUUAUGAAAGUAAAAAGUGCCUUUUGGAACCAAGUGACAGGUGUUGCAUGGCCGUCGUCAGCUCGUGUCGUGAGAUGUAGGGUUAAGUCCCUUAACGAGCGCAACCCUUGUGAUUAGUUGUAUUUUUCUAAUCAGACUGCCUCGGCAACGGGGAGGAAGGAGGGGAUGAUGUCAGGUCAGUAUUGCCCUUACGUCCUGGGCUAGAAACGCGCUACAAUGGCUAGUACAAAGGGCAGCCAACCCGCAAGGGGGAGCUAAUCCCAUCAAAGCUAGUCUCAGUUCGGAUUGCAGGCUGAAACUCGCCUGCAUGAAGCUGGAAUCGCUAGUAACCGUAAGUCAGCAAAUUACGGUGAAUACGUUCCCGGGUCUU
rnacentral:rRNA from 1 species